rnacentral:rRNA from 1 species
GAUGAACGCUAGCGGGAGGCUUAACACAUGCAAGUCGAGGGGCAGCAUAGGGUAGCAAUACUCUGAUGGCGACCGGCAAACGGGUGAGUAACGCGUAUGUAACCUACCCUGUACAGGGGGAUAACCCGGAGAAAUUCGGACUAAUAUCCCAUAACAAUAUCCGGGGGCAUCUUUGGAUAUUUAAAGUUCCGGCGGUACGGGAUGGGCAUGCGUAACAUUAGCUAGUUGGUAAGGUAACGGCUUACCAAGGCUUUGAUGUUUAGGGGUCCUGAGAGGGUGGUCCCCCACACUGGUACUGAGACACGGACCAGACUCCUACGGGAGGCAGCAGUGAGGAAUAUUGGUCAAUGGGCGCAAGCCUGAACCAGCCAUCCCGCGUGCAGGAAGACGGCGCUAUGCGUUGUAAACUGCUUUUCCAGGGAGAGAAACUUGCGCACGUGUUGCGCAAUUGACGGUACCCUGGAAAUAAGCAUCGGCUAACUCCGUG